GCUGGGUAUGAUGGUGCAUGCCUGUAAUCCAAGUGGCUCGGGAGGCUAGGACAGGAGGAUCGCAAGUUCAAAGCUAGCCUCAGCAAAAAGUGAGGUGCUAAGUAACUCAGUGAGACCCUGUCUCUA
rnacentral:sRNA from 1 species